rnacentral:rRNA from 1 species
GACGAACGCUGGCGGCGUGCCUAAUACAUGCAAGUCGAGCGAACCCGGGGUGCUUGCACCCUGAGGGUUAGCGGCGGACGGGUGAGUAACACGUGGGGAACCUGCCUUGCUGUCUGGGAUAACACCGGGAAACCGGUGCUAAUACCGGAUGUCCCCUUUCCGGCACCUGCCGGAGAGGGAAAAGGCGGCUUUGAGCCGCCGCAGCAAGAGGGGCCCGCGGCGCAUUAGUUAGUUGGCAGGGUAACGGCCUCCCAAGGCGACGAUGCGUAGGCGACCGGAGAGGGUGAUCGGCAACACUGGGACUGAGACACGGCCCAGACUCCUACGGGAGGCAGCAGUAGGGAAUCAUCCGCAAUGGACGAAAGUCUGACGGUGCAACGCCGCGUGAGUGAUGAAGGUUUUCGGAUCGUAAAGCUCUGUUGUGAGGGAAGAAUAGGAUGGGGAGGAAAUGCCCGAUCUGUGACGGUACCUCACCAGAAAGCCCCGGCUAACUACGUGCCAGCCGCCGCAGUAA